UUGUUAUUCUUAGCGUUCGGGACUUCUUGCAUUUGCAUGUCUUUUUGUAGUGAUCAUACUGAUCAUAAUAGUCUAUUCUAAUGAUAAAAAAUUUUGGUUGUGAACAAAAUUAAUCAUCAACAUUGUUAUGUUUACGGCGGAACGGCGUAGCGUCUCUAACGCCCUGUCUGAUGGUGUGUCACUUUGUGGUUGUAAUAGAUACAACCCCAAUAUAGUUACUGGUUGUUGUAUUAGGAAGCUAACUCAUACGGCCAAUGGUAGCGGUGGUUGCUUUAAAGCUGUUGUCACUACAGCUCUUCUAUUCAUCAUGGGUGCUCUAUACUGUCUAUAUUAUGGUACUAGUGGAAGUACAGGUGGCAUCGUGACACCUGUUGCAUACAGCCAACAGUCAUUAG